rnacentral:rRNA from 1 species
UACGUAGGGGGCAAGCGUUGUCCGGAUUUAUUGGGCGUAAAGAGCUCGUAGGCGGUGUGUCACGUCGGCCGUGAAAACCUGCAGCUUAACUGUGGGCGUGCGGUCGAUACGGGCAUCACUGGAGUUCGGCAGGGGAGACUGGAAUUCCUGGUGUAGCGGUGAAAUGCGCAGAUAUCAGGAGGAACACCGGUGGCGAAGGCGGGUCUCUGGGCCGAUACUGACGCUGAGGAGCGAAAGCGUGGGGAGCGAACAGG